GAGGCACCGCCGAAUGCCAGCUCUCUGGUCCUCGGAACAGCGCUGCUCACUCAGUAGACAAUCUUUCCUCAUUUCGUUAACACACUCACAGCACCAAACAAAAUCAAAACCAAAAACCAAGAAGAAACAGCAACAGUAGCUAAAACAAAUCCAAUUCCCCAUAAAUAUACAUAGUUGAAAUAUAUCUAUAUACACAUAAUACAUAUAUACUCGUAAUUCACCGUGCAAAAAAAUUACCUAAAGAGCUUGAAUGUUUCCGUGUGUGUAAUUGUUCUUAUCAACUAAAUGUUAAAUGUGUUAAAAAUAAAUUAAACUAAAUUCAACUGAAAUUAAAUUAAAUUAAAUGCCAAAGUGCGUGUCAAGUGCAAAUAUCAGUAUAUUCACCUCGCCUCCUUCGUCGUCAUCUUGUUGUUCUUGUGGCUGUCGUCGCAGUAACUUUAACCGAAACACGCAUUGAAAAUAAUCCAUCAGCUACCUAAAAACGUAUACGCUAUAUUGUCAUGUAUCUAUCCAAUAGCAGUAGUGCUACAUGUUCACGCAAAAUAUUUUUAAAUAGUGAGGAAAAUUCGUGAGGUGUUGUGCGUGUGUGUGCAAAGUUAAUAUUUUCCCCUUCAUAUCCAUUGGAAAUUAAGAUUUCAUUUGUGCUCGUGGCAGAGCCGGGGCAAGUGAAAAGCUUUCAGCAAACCAAACCAAAACAAACAACAAAACCAACCAACGAACGAACCUGGUAACAACGAUAAUUACCACAAUUCACCCACAAUAAAAACCGCAAAUUGAAAACGGCCUCUUGUGGCACGGGGCACGUCGAAUGGCACAGUUUAUGAAACAACUGCAGACUUAAUCCAUCGCACGCUCAUUUCCAUAUCAUUUUGCACAUCGACCACAGGCACCGACACCGACUAAGACGCAGACGUGGGCGGAACAAAAUGUUGCGCUUUCUCAAGAAUCGUUAGACAUUUGAGUCUGUCCAGAUUUAGUUAUCGAGCCGCCCAUCUAUCUAUCUAUCUAUCUAUAAAUGUGUGUGUGUGUAUAUGCUUAGCUGUAUCUGUAUCUCCGUG